CGGAGGGAUCAUUAAAGAGUUCUAUAACUCCCAAACCCAUGUGAACAUACCUAACGUUGCCUCGGCAGGUCGCACCUACCUUGUAGCACCCUACCCUGUAGGGCCUACCCGGGAGGUGCGGGUAAGCCUGCCGGCGGCCCACCAAACUCUGUUUGAUAUUGAAUUCUGAACCUAUAACUAAAUAAGUUAAAACUUUCAACAACGGAUCUCUUGGUUCUGGCAUCGAUGAAGAACGCAGCGAAAUGCGAUAAGUAAUGUGAAUUGCAGAAUUCAGUGAAUCAUCGAAUCUUUGAACGCAUAUUGCGCCCAUUAGUAUUCUAGUGGGCAGGACCGUUCGAGCGUCAUUUCAACCCUUAAGCCUUCGUUGCUUAGUGUUGGGAGCCUACGGCAACGUAGCUCCUCAAAGUUAGUGGCGGAGUUGGUUCACACUCUAGACGUAGUAAUUUUUUAUCUCGCCUAUUAGUUGGACUAAUCCCCUGCCGUAAAACCCCCAAUUUAUCAAGGUUGACCUCGAAUCGGUUCAGACAAACUCGCUAAAUUGAAGCAUCUUAGUCAGCGAAGGAAAAGAAACCAACAGGGAUUGCCCUAGUAACGGCGAGUGAAGCGGCAACAGCUCAAAUUUGAAAUCUGGCCCUCGGGUCCGAGUUGUAAUUUGUAG
rnacentral:rRNA from 1 species